CUUCCCUGUCUGAAGGGGGGGAAUCCUUUGUUGGGACGUGUUAGGUGGCCCUGAUUGUUUCCUAGAUGGAAUUCCUUUGUUUUCAGAGUGUUGUUCUUUAUUUUCUGUGCUGAGAUGAAAGAGUGAUGAGUACCGAAUGGUCUUGUACCUUUAAAGCCUGGCUGCUUCCCUGCCUGGGGGGGGGGGGGAUCCUUUGUUGAGCAGCCAGGCCUUGCCAUUGUGAGGAGAGGAAAGGAAAUGGGCCGUAACUUGUUUGGUGAGUGCAGUGGCAGGGAAGGGGGGAGUUUAAAGGGGAUCUUCUGUGGGGUUUGAGUAGUUUUUUCAUUGGGUAGGCCCCUGAGGGGCGGCAUGUUGAACCCACCUUGUUCCUCCUGAGAAGUAUUAGGCUGUGGGAUGGUGUUGAGGACAGCGACUGUGUGUGAGGGAGGCAAAGGAGUGCGCACGGGGGCAGCCGUAGGAGGGAGGGGCCGCACCCUCUUUGUUGUUGCCUCCAAAAUGAAUGUUUCUUAGAAAGGAAAGGAAGAAUGUGAAUGGGGGAAAAAUUCCAUCCUUAAUAGAUAUGACUGGCUGUUAUGAAAUACUUGGAUGUCUCCAAACUGCAUUUUCCGCUGCUCACCUCCCCACCACGACUGUGUUAAAUCAUUUAAAUCUGAUCAACAUUAUGGAUUCUCACCAAGACAUCUAGUGUUUCAAAUAUGAUCAUUUUGCAUGGAUUAUAAUUUAAGCAUUUUAUUUAAUCGAAUGAACUCGGGCAGCAAUGUAUUCAUGCAGAUAGAAGCUUCAAAGAAAAAAAACCUAAAGCUGAAUAAAAUAAACGGUUCCUUCUCAAUCCAUCUCUAAAUAGAGGAAUUCAGCUCCCAAAACGAAACAAAUACCUGAAAGGUAUUCAACCAGGAUGGGGGGCAGGGAAAUCGAAUUUAAGAAACAGUAUUACAUAUCUCUGAGAGGCUUACACCUCACCUGGAAGGAAACCACUUCUCUUUGUUGUCUGUCUUUGGUAGCCAGGUUAAUAUAACAAGCUCUCUUUUCUUAAGGUGCUAAAUUUCUCUUCAUUGCUUCUGGGCUUUGUGCAAAAUGCCCAUAUCAAUAAAGACAUGACUACUCAUGGCAUGGAAGGCGGAUGUCAUUUGAAGGUUUUUCACUAUUCCCUUAUUCAGAAGAAAUGUUACUGAUGGCAUGUUCACCAUACAUGCUCUAAUACAUCUGUAUCAUGUGAAGCCUACUUCAGCAAAAUAUAUAUUAACUAAUACAAGGUGAAACUCCCACAAUAUUAAGGAUCAAUAGCAAAUUUGUACUAAGAUUUCCAUCCGGCAUGCUUACUA